GCGUCACUGAUGAGUCGAGUAUGUCGAGAUGUAGACGAAACGCGCGUCUGGCGU
rnacentral:hammerhead_ribozyme from 1 species